rnacentral:rRNA from 1 species
GACGAACGCUGGCGGCGUGCUUAACACAUGCAAGUCGAACGGAAAGGCCCUGCUCUUGUGGGGUGCUCGAGUGGCGAACGGGUGAGUAACACGCGAGUAACCUGCCCUUGACUUUGGGAUAACUUCAGGAAACUGGGGCUAAUAUCGGAUAGGAGCUCCUGCUGCAUGGUGGGGGUUGGAAAGUUUCGGCGGUUGGGGAUGGACUCGCGGCUUAUCAGCUUGUUGGUGGGGUAGUGGCUUACCAAGGCUUUGACGGGUAGCCGGCCUGAGAGGGUGACCGGCCACAUUGGGACUGAGAUACGGCCCAGAAUCCUACGGGAGGCAGCAGUGGGGAAUAUUGCACAAUGGGCGGAAGCCUGAUGCAGCAACGCCGCGUGCGGGAUGACGGCCUUCGGGUUGUAAACCGCUUUCGCCUGUGACGAAGCGUGAGUGACGGUAAUGGGUAAAGAAGCACCGGCUAACUACGUG